rnacentral:rRNA from 1 species
UACGAAGGGGGCUAGCGUUGCUCGGAAUCACUGGGCGUAAAGCGCACGUAGGCGGCUUCUUAAGUCAGGGGUGAAAUCCUGGAGCUCAACUCCAGAACUGCCUUUGAUAACUGAGGAGCUUGAGUCCGGGAGAGGUGAGUGGAACUGCGAGUGUAGAGGUGAAAUUCGUAGAUAUUCGCAAGAACACCAGUGGCGAAGGCGGCUC